AGAACGAACGCUGGCGGCAGGCCUCAAACAUGCAAGUCUAGGGGGUGUAGCAAUACAUCACCGGCGGACGGGUGCGUAACACGUGGGAAUAUACCUUUUGGUUCGGAACAACGCAGGGAAACUUGCGCUAAUACCGAAUGUGCCCUUACGGGGAAAGAUUUAUCGCCAAAGGAUUAGCCCGCGUAGGAUUAGCUAGUUGGUGAGGUAAUAGCUCACCAAGGCUCCGAUCCUUAGCUGUUCUGAGAGGAAGAUCAGCCACACUGGGACUGAGACACGGCCCAGACUCCUACGGGAGGCAGCAGUUGGGAAUCUUGGACAAUGGGGAAACCCUGAUCCAGCCAUGCCGCGUGAGUGAUGAAGGCCUUCGGGUUGUAAAACUCUUUCGACGGGGACGAUAAUGACGGUACCCGUAGAAGAAGCUCCGGCUAACUUCGUGCCAGCAGCCGC
rnacentral:rRNA from 1 species